CCCUACGGGGGGCAGCAGUGAGGAAUAUUGGUCAAUGGCCGGAAGGCUGAACCAGCCAAGCCGCGUGAAGGACGAAGGUGCCAAGCAUUGUAAACUUCUUUUGUCAAGGGACAAAAUCAGGCUCGAGAGCCUGACCGAGGGUACCUGAAGAAAAAGCAUCGGCUAACUCCGUGCCAGCAGCCGCGGUAAUACGGAGGAUGCGAGCGUUAUCCGGAUUUAUUGGGUUUAAAGGGUGCGCAGGCGGAGGCACAGGUCAGCGGUAAAAUCGCGGGGCUCAACCCCGCUCCGCCGUUGAAACUGUGUCC
rnacentral:rRNA from 1 species